UCCGGUUCAUCACCGGCAGUCUCCUUAGAGUCCCCACCAUUACAUGUUGGCAACUAAGGAUAAGGGUUGCGCUCGUUACGGGACUUAACCCAACAUCUCACAACACGAGCUGACGACAGCCAUGCAGCACCUGUCUCUAGGUUCCUUUCGGCACUCCCACAUCUCUGCAGAAUUCCUAGGAUGUCAAGGGUAGGUAAGGUUCUUCGCGUUGCGUCGAAUUAAACCACAUGCUCCACCGCUUGUGCGGGCCCCCGUCAAUUCCUUUGAGUUUUAAUCUUGCGACCGUACUCCCCAGGCGGAAGACUUAUCGCGUUAGCUUCGAUACUAAUAGGUCAAGCCUACCAACAUCUAGUCUUCAUCGUUUACGGCGUGGACUAC
rnacentral:misc_RNA from 1 species